rnacentral:rRNA from 1 species
AGUGAACGCUGGCGGUAGGCCUAACACAUGCAAGUCGAGCGGCAGCACAGUAAGAGCUUGCUCUUACGGGUGGCGAGUGGCGGACGGGUGAGGAAUACAUCGGAAUCUACUUUUUCGUGGGGGAUAACGUAGGGAAACUUACGCUAAUACCGCAUACGACCUACGGGUGAAAGCAGGGGAUCUUCGGACCUUGCGCGAUUGAACGAGCCGAUGUCGGAUUAGCUAGUUGGCGGGGUAAAGGCCCACCAAGGCGACGAUCCGUAGCUGGUCUGAGAGGAUGAUCAGCCACACUGGAACUGAGACACGGUCCAGACUCCUACGGGAGGCAGCAGUGGGGAAUAUUGGACAAUGGGCGCAAGCCUGAUCCAGCCAUACCGCGUGGGUGAAGAAGGCCUUCGGGUUGUAAAGCCCUUUUGUUGGGAAAGAAAAGCAGCAGGUUAAUACCCCGCUGUUCUGACGGUACCCAAAGAAUAAGCACCGGCUAACUUCGUG